GAUGAACGCUAGCUACAGGCUUAACACAUGCAAGUCGAGGGGCAGCAUGAAGUUUGCUUGCAAACUUUGAUGGCGACCGGCGGAUGGGUGAGUAACGCGUAUCCAACCUGCCCCCUUCCCGGGCACAGCCCUUGGAAACGAGGAUUAACUCCCGAUGGUGUCAGUCAGGCGCAUGCCUUUCUGACCAAAUGUUUAAGGAAGGGGAUGGGGAUGCGUCCCAUUAGCUUGUUGGCGGGGUAACGGCCCACCAAGGCUCCGAUGGGUAGGGGUUCUGAGAGGAAGGUCCCCCACACUGGAACUGAGACACGGUCCAG
rnacentral:rRNA from 1 species